rnacentral:rRNA from 1 species
GCGGAGGGAUCAUUACCGAGUUUACAACUCCCAAACCCCUGUGAACAUACCACUUGUUGCCUCGGCGGAUCAGCCCGCUCCCGGUAAAACGGGACGGCCCGCCAGAGGACCCCUAAACUCUGUUUCUAUAUGUAACUUCUGAGUAAAACCAUAAAUAAAUCAAAACUUUCAACAACGGAUCUCUUGGUUCUGGCAUCGAUGAAGAACGCAGCAAAAUGCGAUAAGUAAUGUGAAUUGCAGAAUUCAGUGAAUCAUCGAAUCUUUGAACGCACAUUGCGCCCGCCAGUAUUCUGGCGGGCAUGCCUGUUCGAGCGUCAUUUCAACCCUCAAGCACAGCUUGGUGUUGGGACUCGCGUUAAUUCGCGUUCCUCAAAUUGAUUGGCGGUCACGUCGAGCUUCCAUAGCGUAGUAGUAAAACCCUCGUUACUGGUAAUCGUCGCGGCCACGCCGUUAAACCCCAACUUCUGAAUGUUGACCUCGGAUCAGGUAGGAAUACCCGCUGAACUUAAGCAUAU